rnacentral:rRNA from 1 species
UACGUAGGGUGCAAGCGUUGUCCGGAAUUAUUGGGCGUAAAGAGCUCGUAGGCGGUUUGUCACGUCUGCUGUGAAAACUCGGGGCUUAACCCCGGGCCUGCAGUGGGUACGGGCAGACUAGAGUGCGGUAGGGGAGACUGGAAUUCCUGGUGUAGCGGUGAAAUGCGCAGAUAUCAGGAGGAACACCGGUGGCGAAGGCGGGUCUCUGGGCCGUAACUGACGCUGAGGAGCGAAA